GACGGAGGAUGCAAGCGUUAUCCGGAAUGAUUGGGCGUAAAGCGUCCGCAGGUGGCAGUUCAAGUCUGCUGUCAAAGACCGGGGCUUAACUUCGGAAAGGCAGUGGAAACUGAACAGCUAGAGUAUGGUAGGGGCAGAGGGAAUUCCUGGUGUAGCGGUGAAAUGCGUAGAUAUCAGGAAGAACAUCGGUGGCGAAGGCGGCCGACUGGGCCGACCCUGACGCUGAGGCGCGAAGGCGUGGGGAGCGAACGGG
rnacentral:rRNA from 1 species